GACGAACGCUGGCGGCGUGCUUAACACAUGCAAGUCGAACGGAAAGGCCCUGCUUUUGUGUGGUGCUCGAGUGGCGAACGGGUGAGUAACACGUGAGUAACCUGCCUGGGACUUUGGGAUAACUUCAGGAAACUGGGGCUAAUACCGGAUAGGAACUCCUGCUGCAUGGUGGGGGUUGGAAAGUUUCGGCGGUUGGGGAUGGACUCGCGGCUUCUCAGUUUGUUGUUGGGGUAGUGGCUUACCAAGGCUUUGACGGGUAGCCGGCGGGAGAGGGUGACCGGCCACAUUGGGACUGAGAUACGGCCCAGGCGCCUACGGGAGGCAGGAGUGAGGAAUAUUGCACAAUGGGCGGAAGACUGAUGCAGCAACGCCGCGUGCGAGAUGACGGCGUUCGGGUUGUAAACCGCUUUCGCCUGUGACGAAGCGUGAGGGACGGUAAUGAGUAAAGAAGCACCGGCUAACUACGU
rnacentral:rRNA from 1 species